rnacentral:rRNA from 1 species
AACGAACGCUGGCGGUAUGCUUAACACAUGCAAGUCGAACGGACUUAUUAGAGCUUGCUUUAAUAAGUUAGUGGCAAACGGGUGAGUAACACGUGGGAAUCUACCCAUCAGUACGGAAUAACAUUUGGAAACAGAUGCUAAUACCGUAUAUUCUCCAAGGAGGAAAGAUUUAUCGCUGAUAGAUGAGCCCGCGUAAGAUUAGGUAGUUGGUAGGGUAAUGGCCUACCAAGCCGACGAUCUUUAGCUGGUCUGAGAGGAUGAUCAGCCACACUGGGACUGAGACACGGCCCAGACUCCUACGGGAGGCAGCAGUGGGGAAUAUUGGACAAUGGGCGAAAGCCUGAUCCAGCAAUACCGCGUGAAUGACGAAGGCCUUAGGGUUGUAAAGUUC